CCUACGGGUGGCAGCAGUGAGGAAUAUUGGUCAAUGGACGAGAGUCUGAACCAGCCAAGUGGCGUGAAGGAUGACUGCCCUAUGGGUUGUAAACUUCUUUUAUAUGGGAAUAAAAUGUUCCACGUGUGGGAUUUUGUAUGUACCUUAUGAAUAAGGAUCGGCUAACUCCGUUCCAGCAGCCGCGGUAAUACGGAGGAUCCGAGCGUUAUCCGGAUUUCUUGGGUUUAAAGGGAGCGUAGGUGGAUUGUUAAGUUCGUUGUGAAAGUUUGGGGCUCAACCGUAAAAUUGCAGUUGAAACGGGCAGUCUUGAGUACAGUAGAGGUGGGCGGAAUUCGUGGUGUAGCGGUGAAAUGCUUAGAUAUCACGAAGAACUCCGAUUGCGAAGGCAGUUCACUGGACUGCAACUGACACUGAGGCUCGAAAGUGUGGGUAUCAAACAGGAUUAGAUACCCCAGUAGUC
rnacentral:rRNA from 1 species